rnacentral:rRNA from 1 species
GGCUAACGCUGGCGGCGUGUCUUAGCCAUGCAAGUCGAGCGGACUUAUGGGGUAACUUAUAAGUCAGCGGCGGACGGCGGAGUAACACGUAGCUAACCUACCCUCUGGACGGGGAUAACCUACCGAAAGGUGGGCUAAUACCCGAUGUAGUCAUCCUGUAUAGGGGUGAUGAAAGGUGGGCUUCUGUUUACAAGCUCAUGCUGGAGGAGGGGGCUGCGGCCUAUCAGGUAGUUGGUAGGGUAAUAGCCUACCAAGCCGAUGACGGGUAGCCGGCCUGAGAGGGUGACCGGCCCGAGGGGCACUGAGAUACGGGUCCCACUCCUACGGGAGGCAGCAGGCUAGAAAUUUGGGCAAUGGGGGAAACCCUGACCCAGUGACGCCGCGUGCAGGAAGGAGCCCUUCGGGGUGUAAACUGCUGUCGUGUAGGGAGAAGGGUACUAAGGUGAACAAUCUUAGUACUUGACGGUACUACAGGAGGAAGCCCAGGCUAACCUCGUGCCAGCAGCCGCGUAAAGCUACGUAGA